rnacentral:rRNA from 1 species
UCAAGCUACAAAGAGCACAGGGCGGAUGCCUUGGCGCCUAAAGCCGAAGAAGGACGUGACAAGCUGCGAAAAGCUGCGGGGAGCUGCAAAUAAGCAUAGAGCCGCAGAUAUCCGAAUGAGGGAACUCAGCGGUAGGGAACUGCCGUUACCACAAGUUGAAUACAUAGACUUGUAGGAGGGGACCCGGGGAAGUGAAACAUCUAAGUACCCGGAGGAAGAGAAAGAAAGAUCGAUUUUCAAAGUAGCGGCGAGCGAAAUGGAAAGAGCCCAAACCAAUUAGUUUACUAUUUGGGGUUGUGGGUCAGCGACAAGUAGACGGAAGCUAAUCGAAUGAGUUGGAAAGCUCAACCAAAGAAUGUGAAAGUCAAGUAGAUGAAAGCGGAAGAAAGCGAGCUGAUACCGGAGUACCACAGGACACGAGAAAUCCGGUGGGAAUCAGGGAGGACCACCUCCCAAGGCUAAAUACAAAUAGGCGACCGAUAGCGAAUAGUACCGUGAGGGAAAGGUGAAAAGUACCCCGGGAGGGGAGUGAAAGAGAACCUGAAACCCUGUGUUUACAAGCAGAGAAAGCACAAUAGAUGUGCGAUCUCGUACUUUUUGUAGAACGGACCGGCGAGUUACGUUAUGCAGCGAGGUUAAAUACUAAAGGUAUGGAGCCGAAGCGAAAGCGAGUUUGAAAAGAGCGUUAAGUUGCAUGAAGUAGACCCGAAACCGGGUGACCUAUCCAUGAGCAGGUUGAAGAGGGAGUAAAAUCCUUUGGAGGACCGAACCAGACAUCUGUUGAAAAAGGUGGGGAUGACUUGUGGAUAGCGGAGAAAUUCCAAUCGAACCCGGAUAUAGCUGGUUCUCCUCGAAAUAGCUUUAGGGCUAGCCUCAUAGUAAGAUUAUCGGAGGUAGAGCACUGAAUGGGCACGGGGGUCCAAAGCCUACCAACCCCUAUCAAACUGCGAAUGCCGAAUAAUUAAUAUAUGGGAGUCAGUCCAUGAGAGAUAAGUUCCAUGGGCGAAAGGGAAACAACCCAGACCAACCGCUAAGGUCCCAAAGUACAAGUUAAGUGGUAAAGGAUGUGCAAGUGCAUAGACAACCAGGAUGUUGGCUUAGAAGCAGCCACACAUUUAAAGAGUGCGUAAUAGCUCACUGGUCGAGUGCCUGUGCGCCGAAGAUAAACGGGGCUGAAACUUGACACCGAAGCGAUGGACUAGAGAUAGUGGUAGAGGAGCAUUGUAUGCGGGCAGAAGCAUAACUGAGAAGAUAUGUGGACUGCAUAGAAGAGAGAAUGCCGGUAUGAGUAGCGAGAGGGAUGCGAGAAACAUCCCCGUCGAAAGCCCAAGGUUUCCUGGGGAAGGUUCAUCCACCCAGGGUAAGUCGGGGCCUAAGCCGAGGACAGAAGUCAUAGGCGAUGGACAGCAGGUUUAGAUUCCUGCACUACCAUAGGAAUGAAGCAGUGACACAGAAGGAUAGCUUAAGCAGGGUGAUGGUCAACUCUGUACUUGAAGCGAGGCUGAGAGAUAGUCAAGUACGUCUCUCGUGAAGGCUGAGCAAAGAGGGGAUCCGAAUUAAGUAGGAGAAGUAAGUGAAUUCACGCUGGCGAGAAAAGCUGCUAGUAUAUCCGAAAGGUACCCGUACCGCAAACCGACGCAGGUGGGCGAGAAGAGAAUUCUAAGACGAACGGGAGAACCCUUGUUAAGGAACUCGGCAAAAUGACCCCGUAACUUCGGGAGAAGGGGUGCCUAGGAGACUAGGCCGCAGAGAAUAGGCUCAAGCGACUGUUUAGCAAAAACACAGGUAUCUGCGAAAGAGAGAUCUGACGUAUAGGUGCUGACACCUGCCCGGUGCUGGAAGGUUAAGAGGAAAUGUUAGCGCAAGCGAAGCAUAGAAUUGAAGCCCCAGUAAACGGCGGCCGUAACUAUAACGGUCCUAAGGUAGCGAAAUUCCUUGUCGGGUAAGUUCCGACCCGCACGAAUGGUGUAACGA